rnacentral:rRNA from 1 species
UACAGAGGGUGCGAGCGUUAAUCGGAAUUACUGGGCGUAAAGCGUGCGUAGACGGUUAUCUAAGUCGGAUGUGAAAGCCCCGGGCUCAACCUGGGAAUUGCAUUCGAGACUGAAUAGCUAGGGUGCGGUAGAGGGAAGCGGAAUUUCCGGUGUAGCGGUGAAAUGCGUAGAUAUCCGAAGGAACAUCAGUGGCGAAAGCGGCUUCCUGGACCAGAACUGACGCUGAGGCGCGAAAGCGUGGGUAGCAAACGGG